GAAAACAAACAAGUGUCAUUAGAUGACCAGGUGAGGACACAGAGAGAUGCUGGCCAUCUACAGACCAUGGAGCAGGCCUUGGAAGAAACAAUCAUGCUGACAUCUUGAUCUCAGAUUUCUGGCUUCUAGCACUGAGCCGAUAAAAGGGAUAGAGGGAUCGUUGGGUGCUUCCUUCUUGGGAGGAACCCCCUGCCAUCAUCCAGUAGUGCUACCAAUAUCCACUACCGUACACAGCUCCACCUCCGGGGAUGCUUAUUACCCCCAGGAUACCAAUGCAGAAAGGAAAAGAUGAGGAAACUGAAGUUUGGUCAUCUGAAUAAGGACAAUCAAAGUAGCUGGAUGAGGCAAAUCCUGAUUGCAAAUCCAUGUGCUUUCU